UGGGGUUGUCAGGAAUAGUUUGUGCUCUAAU
rnacentral:piRNA from 1 species